GCAGUGGUGGUUCAGAGGUCGAAUUUUCUCCUUCCACGCGGGAGACCCAGGUUUGAUUCCUGGCCAGUGCA
rnacentral:tRNA from 1 species